AGACGGAGGGUGCAAGCGUUACUCGGAAUCACUGGGCGUAAAGCGUACGUAGGCGGCUUGUCAAGUUGGAUGUGAAAUCCCACAGCUUAACUGUGGAACUGCGUCCAAAACUGACAGGCUCGAGAACAGUAGGGGACAGUGGAACUCAAGGUGGAGCGGUGAAAUGCGUAGAGAUCUUGAGGAACACCGGUGGCGAAAGCGACUGUCUGGGCUGUUUCUGACGCUGAGGUACGAAAGCCAGGGGAGCGAACGGGAUUAGAUACCCUUGUAGUCC
rnacentral:rRNA from 1 species